rnacentral:lncRNA from 1 species
CGCUCGACAGUAGACCCUUCUGUUGAUUUCCUCACGGAAAAAAGGGUUCGUAACCAACAUCUCAAGCACACUGAACACCAGGGGGGGCUGCAUGGACCUGGACACGUGUCUGCCUGACCUGCCCCCAGGCUCUCGGUGGGAUGCCCCGCAGCGAUGCAGACAGGGGCCUGUGGGCAGAGGCCACGGCCUCCAUGAGCCAGGCUAUCAGAAAGGUGGGACAAGAGGCCAGCUGUGCUCAGUUUGCAGUGCGGUCCCGUCCAAGCACGGCCCCUCGUUUCUGGAACCCGGCUGUAAACAGCAGGAGGGAGGGGCGGUGGCGCCUGCCAAGGGAGGCAGAGGCCCUGCGGGGAACUUACCAGAGGAAAACAAGUGCUUGCAUCCUGGGGCCCUCACACGCACGCGCAGGAGGCCAGGCGCGCUGCUGAUAAGAGCCUGCGGGUUUGCAGAGAAGCGCAGCAGCGCGCAGGUCCUCACCAGAGCUCUGGUGGCCACCUCUGUCCCGCCAUGCUGCUCACCGACAGUGGCCAGGGCCCACAGCACCAAGAGGCUUGGGCCACAAAGUAAAGGUGCAUCCUGUCUGGAGCUUGUGCUGGCCCGGCGAGUGGAGCCCACAGCCCAUCCCCCACUACCAACAUCCCCCAGAUUGCUGCCUGCCUGGCCGAGGAGGUGCU